rnacentral:ribozyme from 1 species
UUUGGCGUAUGCGAUCCAGUUCUGGCCGAAACAGGUGCUCUCGCCGCUGGCGCUGCUGCUCGAGGAAACGCUGGUGCAAAUCGUAGCUGACGCUUCUGCUGAUGUCCGCUCGCUUGCACGGCAUGCCAUCGUGGCGUACAGUGCCGGGUUCUCCGACAGGUCACUUGUGGUUGCUAUGCAGCUGGAU